rnacentral:rRNA from 1 species
GACGAACGCUGGCGGCGUGCUUAACACAUGCAAGUCAGGGGGCGGGGUAACCCGUCACCGGCGAACGGGUGCGGAACACGUGAGCGACCUGCCCUGGUGUGGGGGAUAGCCGGCCCAACGGCCGGGUAAUACCGCAUACGGCGCCCGCUUGGAAGCGGGAGGCGAAACUCGCAAGAGGCGCUAGGAGGGGCUCGCGGCCUAUCAGCUAGUUGGUGCGGUAACGGCGCACCAAGGCGAUGACGGGUAGCUGGUCUGAGAGGAUGGCCAGCCACAUUGGGAGGGGGAGCGGGCCCGACCCCAGGCGGGGGGCAGCGGGGGGGAAUGUGGCGCAGUGGGGGAAGGCCGGCCGCGGCGACGCGGCGGGGGGGAUGGGCCCCUGGGGGGUGAAAACCCCUGUGGCGGGGGAGGACUCCCCCGCAUGGGGGGGGUGGAGGGUCCGGGGGGAGGAAGCCCCGGCUAACUCGGUG